rnacentral:rRNA from 1 species
UACAGAGGUCCCAAGCGUUGUUCGGAUUCACUGGGCGUAAAGGGUGCGUAGGUGGUGAGGUAAGUCGGAUGUGAAAGCUCCGAGCUCAACUCGGAAAUGGCAUUGGAAACUACCUUGCUGGAGGGUUUGAGGGGGGACUGGAAUACUUGGUGUAGCAGUGAAAUGCGUAGAUAUCAAGUAGAACACCAGUGGCGAAGGCGAGUCCCUGGAAAACACCUGACACUGAGGCACGAAAGCGUGGGGAGCAAACAGG